rnacentral:lncRNA from 1 species
GUAAAAACUAAGCUAUUGUUAUUAUUACUACAAUGUAUCAAUAGCCUUCCCUAAAGUAUAUAGAACACUCACCUCAAAAAGCUCACAGUUUUAAGUGGAGAGAGAAAAAUAAUGCAUAGAAAGUAUCUAAUAAUUCAAGAAAAAAAGAAUUUAUUAUUCAAACAGAAAGUAAUGCCCCUCAAACCUCAAUUCUAGGUAGACUCUUUUGGUUGCAAGAAAAAGAUCCACUCAACCUAGCUCAACUGAGAAAUCUCCUCAAAGGUAUCUCAAGGAACACAAAGCACUGAAGAUAAAUUCCUUCUGUAUUAUGGUUUUGCUGAGAAAGAAAAUCCCAGUUGGGACACCAAUCCUGAUCACCUGGACUUCGUCCCAAAAAGUAUGUCUGAAAUGGGCCUCAAUGAGGAGAAAAUUGUAAGAUCACCAAUCCUGUAUCCUUUGUAUCUUUAAGGGUGACACUACCCUAUCCUGUUGUUUAUUGUUUUAUUGUUUUUGG